UACGUAGGUGGCAAGCGUUGUCCGGAUUUACUGGGCGUAAAGCGCGCGCAGGCGGCUGGCCAAGUCCGAUGUGAAAGCUUCCGGCUUAACUGGAAAACGGCAUCGGAUACUGGUCGGCUGGAAGGUGGGAGAGGGUAGCGGAAUUCCCGGUGUAGUGGUGAAAUGCGUAGAUAUCUGGAGGAACACCGGUGGCGAAGGCGGCAUCCUGGACCGGUAUUGACGCUGAGGCGCGAAAGCCAGGGGAGCAAACGGG
rnacentral:rRNA from 1 species